rnacentral:rRNA from 1 species
GACGGGGGAUGCAAGCGUUAUCCGGAAUCACUGGGCGUAAAGCGUCUGUAGGUGGUGAUGCAAGUCACUGGUGCAAAACUCUGGCUCAACCGGAGGAAAGCCAGUGAAACUGCAUGACUAGAGUGUGGGAGAGGUAGAAGGAAUUCCCUGAGUAGCGGUGAAAUGCGUAGAUACAGGGAAGAACAACGGAGGCGAAAGCGUUCUACUGGAACACAACUGACCCUGAGAGACGAAAGCUAGGGGAGCCAAUGGG